UAGGGAAUCUUCCGCAAUGGGCGAAAGCCUGACGGAGCAACGCCGCGUGAGUGAUGAAGGUCUUCGGAUCGUAAAACUCUGUUAUUAGGGAAGAACAAAUGUGUAAGUAACUAUGCACGUCUUGACGGUAUCUAACCAGAAAGCCACGGCUAACUACGUGCCAGCAGCCGCGGUAAUACGUAGGUGGCAAGCGUUGUCCGGAUUUAUUGGGCGUAAAGCGAGCGCAGGCGGUCAAUUAAGUCUGAUGUGAAAGCACCCGGCUCAACCGGGGAGGGUCAUUGGAAACUGGUUGACUUGAGUGCAGAAGAGGAGAGUGGAAUUCCAUGUGUAGCGGUGAAAUGCGUAGAUAUAUGGAGGAACACCAGUGGCGAAGGCGACUCUCUGGUCUGUAACUGACGCUGAGGCUCGAAAGCGUGGGUAGCAAACAGG
rnacentral:rRNA from 1 species